rnacentral:rRNA from 1 species
AUGAACGCUUGCGGCGUGCCUAAUCCAUGCCAGUCGAGCGAACAGACGAGGAGCUUUCUCCUCUGACGUUAGCGGCGGACGGGUGAGUAACACGUGGAUAACCUACCUAUAAGACUGGGAUAACUUCGGGAAACCGGAGCUAAUACCGGAUAAUAUAUUUAACCGCAUGGUUCAAUAGUGAAAGACGGUUUUGCUGUCACUUAUAGAUGGAUCCGCGCCGCAUUAGCUAGUUGGUAAGGUAACGGCUUACCAAGGCAACGAUGCGUAGCCGACCUGAGAGGGUGAUCGGCCACACUGGAACUGAGACACGGUCCAGACUCCUACGGGAGGCAGCAGUAGGGAAUCUUCCGCAAUGGGCGAAAGCCUGACGGAGCAACGCCGCGUGAGUGAUGAAGGUCUUCGGAUCGUAAAACUCUGUUAUUAGGGAAGAACAAAUGUGUAAGUAACUAUGCACGUCUUGACGGUACCUAAUCAGAAAGCCACGGCUAACUACGUG